CCCGGGGGCAGGGACGAGUACAGCUGCGCAGAGUUCUUCCCCGAAUAAUCUCAGCCGUGAGUAGGGUUGUUUGGGGGAGAGUUAGUAUUAGUCCUUACCUGACACCUGAAGGCAAUAUUGUCUGUCCUUGUGGGAGUUGAUAAUUCCUCCAGGCACUGGUCAGCUACCUAAACGGGAGUGCUGUGUGCAUGGGAAAAAUCAAAGGACUCGCAGGUGUGCAGUUCCAUGCGUGGUGUCUGCAGCGCUGAGGACUGGACCCAGAGCCUCAUGUCCUUGGGGCAAGCUUUGUAGCCACUGCUGCGUUCUCAGACCACAUCCUUAGUUUUCAUUCUCCAUGUUCCCCUCUUCCCAGCCCUUGCCACCCAAUAACUUCUGCGUCCGUGUUUCCUGUUGUGGAUAUUCCAUGUGUGUGGG
rnacentral:lncRNA from 1 species